CUUGGUCAUUUAGAGGAAGUAAAAGUCGUAACAAGGUUUCCGUAGGUGAACCUGCGGAAGGAUCAUUAAUGAAUUUAGAUUGAACCAUAGGCGAAAGCCAGUGGUUCUUCUUUCAUAUCCAUAACACCUGUGCACUGUUGGAUGCUUGCAUCCACUUUUAAACUAAACAUUAUUGUAACAAAUGUAGUCUUAUUAUAACAUAAUAAAACUUUCAACAACGGAUCUCUUGGCUCUCGCAUCGAUGAAGAACGCAGCGAAAUGCGAUAAGUAAUGUGAAUUGCAGAAUUCAGUGAAUCAUCGAAUCUUUGAACGCACCUUGCGCUCCUUGGUAUUCCGAGGAGCAUGCCUGUUUGAGUGUCAUGAAACCCUCAAACCCAAGUUUUGGAUUUCGAUCCAUGCUUGAGUUUGGAUUUGGAUGUUUGCCGGUGAUGAACCGACUCAUCUUAAAAGUAUUAGCUUGGAUCUGUCUAUAUGACUGGUUUGACUUGGCAUAAUAAGUAUUUUGCUGAGGACAUCUUCGGAUGGCCAGGACCUAGACUACUGUCUGCUAACUAAACCAUCACUUUAAGUGCAUCUUUGGAUGUUACUCAUUGUGUAACUUUGACAUCUGGCCUCAAAUCAAGUAGGACUACCCGCUGAACUUAAGCAUAUCAAUAAGCGGAGGA
rnacentral:rRNA from 1 species